GGAAGUAAAAGUCGUAACAAGAUCUCCGUAGGUGAACCUGCGGAGGGAUCAUUACAGAGUUCUCGCCCUCGCGGGUAGAUCUCCCACCCACUGUUAUCGUUACUGUGUUGCUUUGGCGGGCCGCCGGGCCCCGCUCGGCCGCCGGCUCCGGCUGGCGCGCGCCCGCCAGAGGCCCAGCAAACUCUGAAUGUUAGUGUCGUCUGAGUACUAUAUAAUAGUUAAAACUUUCAACAACGGAUCUCUUGGUUCUG
rnacentral:misc_RNA from 1 species